rnacentral:rRNA from 1 species
ACUAAGCGUACACGGUGGAUGCCCUGGCAGUCAGAGGCGAUGAAGGACGUGCUAAUCUGCGAUAAGCGUCGGUAAGGUGAUAUGAACCGUUAUAACCGGCGAUUUCCGAAUGGGGAAACCCAGUGUGAUUCGUCACACUAUCAUUAACUGAAUCCAUAGGUUAAUGAGGCGAACCGGGGGAACUGAAACAUCUAAGUACCCCGAGGAAAAGAAAUCAACCGAGAUUCCCCCAGUAGCGGCGAGCGAACGGGGAGGAGCCCAGAGCCUGAAUCAGUGUGUGUGUUAGUGGAAGCGUCUGGAAAGGCGCGCGAUACAGGGUGACAGCCCCGUACACAAAAAUGCACAUGCUGUGAGCUCGAUGAGUAGGGCGGGACACGUGGUAUCCUGUCUGAAUAUGGGGGGACCAUCCUCCAAGGCUAAAUACUCCUGACUGACCGAUAGUGAACCAGUACCGUGAGGGAAAGGCGAAAAGAACCCCGGCGAGGGGAGUGAAAAAGAACCUGAAACCGUGUACGUACAAGCAGUGGGAGCACGCUUAGGCGUGUGACUGCGUACCUUUUGUAUAAUGGGUCAGCGACUUAUAUUCUGUAGCAAGGUUAACCGAAUAGGGGAGCCGAAGGGAAACCGAGUCUUAACUGGGCGUUAAGUUGCAGGGUAUAGACCCGAAACCCGGUGAUCUAGCCAUGGGCAGGUUGAAGGUUGGGUAACACUAACUGGAGGACCGAACCGACUAAUGUUGAAAAAUUAGCGGAUGACUUGUGGCUGGGGGUGAAAGGCCAAUCAAACCGGGAGAUAGCUGGUUCUCCCCGAAAGCUAUUUAGGUAGCGCCUCGUGAAUUCAUCUCCGGGGGUAGAGCACUGUUUCGGCAAGGGGGUCAUCCCGACUUACCAACCCGAUGCAAACUGCGAAUACCGGAGAAUGUUAUCACGGGAGACACACGGCGGGUGCUAACGUCCGUCGUGAAGAGGGAAACAACCCAGACCGCCAGCUAAGGUCCCAAAGUCAUGGUUAAGUGGGAAACGAUGUGGGAAGGCCCAGACAGCCAGGAUGUUGGCUUAGAAGCAGCCAUCAUUUAAAGAAAGCGUAAUAGCUCACUGGUCGAGUCGGCCUGCGCGGAAGAUGUAACGGGGCUAAACCAUGCACCGAAGCUGCGGCAGCGACGCUUAUGCGUUGUUGGGUAGGGGAGCGUUCUGUAAGCCUGCGAAGGUGUGCUGUGAGGCAUGCUGGAGGUAUCAGAAGUGCGAAUGCUGACAUAAGUAACGAUAAAGCGGGUGAAAAGCCCGCUCGCCGGAAGACCAAGGGUUCCUGUCCAACGUUAAUCGGGGCAGGGUGAGUCGACCCCUAAGGCGAGGCCGAAAGGCGUAGUCGAUGGGAAACAGGUUAAUAUUCCUGUACUUGGUGUUACUGCGAAGGGGGGACGGAGAAGGCUAUGUUGGCCGGGCGACGGUUGUCCCGGUUUAAGCGUGUAGGCUGGUUUUCCAGGCAAAUCCGGAAAACUAAGGCUGAGGCGUGAUGACGAGGCACUACGGUGCUGAAGCAACAAAUGCCCUGCUUCCAGGAAAAGCCUCUAAGCAUCAGGUAACAUCAAAUCGUACCCCAAACCGACACAGGUGGUCAGGUAGAGAAUACCAAGGCGCUUGAGAGAACUCGGGUGAAGGAACUAGGCAAAAUGGUGCCGUAACUUCGGGAGAAGGCACGCUGAUAUGUAGGUGAAGCGACUUGCUCGUGGAGCUGAAAUCAGUCGAAGAUACCAGCUGGCUGCAACUGUUUAUUAAAAACACAGCACUGUGCAAACACGAAAGUGGACGUAUACGGUGUGACGCCUGCCCGGUGCCGGAAGGUUAAUUGAUGGGGUCAGCGCAAGCGAAGCUCUUGAUCGAAGCCCCGGUAAACGGCGGCCGUAACUAUAACGGUCCUAAGGUAGCGAAAUUCCUUGUCGGGUAAGUUCCGACCUGCACGAAUGGCGUAAUGAUGGCCAGGCUGUCUCCACCCGAGACUCAGUGAAAUUGAACUCGCUGUGAAGAUGCAGUGUACCCGCGGCAAGACGGAAAGACCCCGUGAACCUUUACUAUAGCUUGACACUGAACAUUGAGCCUUGAUGUGUAGGAUAGGUGGGAGGCUUUGAAGUGUGGACGCCAGUCUGCAUGGAGCCGACCUUGAAAUACCACCCUUUAAUGUUUGAUGUUCUAACGUUGACCCGUGAUCCGGGUUGCGGACAGUGUCUGGUGGGUAGUUUGACUGGGGCGGUCUCCUCCUAAAGAGUAACGGAGGAGCACGAAGGUUGGCUAAUCCUGGUCGGACAUCAGGAGGUUAGUGCAAUGGCAUAAGCCAGCUUGACUGCGAGCGUGACGGCGCGAGCAGGUGCGAAAGCAGGUCAUAGUGAUCCGGUGGUUCUGAAUGGAAGGGCCAUCGCUCAACGGAUAAAAGGUACUCCGGGGAUAACAGGCUGAUACCGCCCAAGAGUUCAUAUCGACGGCGGUGUUUGGCACCUCGAUGUCGGCUCAUCACAUCCUGGGGCUGAAGUAGGUCCCAAGGGUAUGGCUGUUCGCCAUUUAAAGUGGUACGCGAGCUGGGUUUAGAACGUCGUGAGACAGUUCGGUCCCUAUCUGCCGUGGGCGCUGGAGAACUGAGGGGGGCUGCUCCUAGUACGAGAGGACCGGAGUGGACGCAUCACUGGUGUUCGGGUUGUCAUGCCAAUGGCACUGCCCGGUAGCUAAAUGCGGAAGAGAUAAGUGCUGAAAGCAUCUAAGCACGAAACUUGCCCCGAGAUGAGUUCUCCCUGACUCCUUGAGAGUCCUGAAGGAACGUUGAAGACGACGACGUUGAUAGGCCGGGUGUGUAAGCGCAGCGAUGCGUUGAGCUAACCGGUACUAAUGAACCGUGAGGCUUAACC